rnacentral:tRNA from 1 species
GUCCACGGAUGGGAAUCGAACCCAUAGUGUUCCGCAUACCGAGCAGAUGCCAUUACCACUAGGCUACCCUGGA